rnacentral:rRNA from 2 species
GAACUUUCCAGAGAUGGAUUGGUGCCUUCGGGAACUGUGAGACAGGUGCUGCAUGGCUGUCGUCAGCUCGUGUUGUGAAAUGUUGGGUUAAGUCCCGCAACGAGCGCAACCCUUAUCCUUUGUUGCCAGCGGUCCGGCCGGGAACUCAAAGGAGACUGCCAGUGAUAAACUGGAGGAAGGUGGGGAUGACGUCAAGUCAUCAUGGCCCUUACGACCAGGGCUACACACGUGCUACAAUGGCGCAUACAAAGAGAAGCGACCUCGCGAGAGCAAGCGGACCUCAUAAAGUGCGUCGUAGUCCGGAUUGGAGUCUGCAACUCGACUCCAUGAAGUCGGAAUCGCUAGUAAUCGUGGAUCAGAAUGCCACGGUGAAUACGUUCCCGGGCCUUGUACACACCGCCCGUCACACCAUGGGAGUG